UUUUAGUUAGAAGCUUGAUCAUGGCUCAGAUUGAACGCCGGCGGCAGCCCUAACACAUGCAAGUCGAGCGGAUGACGGGAGCUUGCUCCUUGAUUCAGCGGCGGACGGGUGAGUAAUGCCUAGGAAUCUGCCUGGUAGUGGGGGACAACGUUUGGAAAGGAACGCUAAUACCGCAUACGUCCUCCGGGAGAAAGCAGGGGACCUUCGGGCCUUGCGCCAUCAGAUGAGCCUAGGUCGGAUUAGCUAGUUGGUGGGGUAAUGGCUCACCAAGGCGACGAUCCGUAACUGGUCUGAGAGGAUGAUCAGUCACACUGGAACUGAGACACGGUCCAGACUCCUACGGGAGGCAGCAGUGGGGAAUAUUGGACAAUGGGCGAAAGCCUGAUCCAGCCAUGCCGCUUGUGUGAAGAAGGUCUUCGGGUUGUAAAGCACUUUCAAGUGGGGAGGAAGGGCAGUAGAGUAAUACCUCGCUGA
rnacentral:rRNA from 1 species